GACGAACGCUGGCGGCAUGCCUAACACAUGCAAGUCGAGGGGUAGAGGCUUUCGGGCCUUGAGACCGGCGCACGGGUGCGUAACGCGUAUGCAAUCUGCCUUUCACAGAGGGAUAGCCCAGAGAAAUUUGGAUUAAUACCUCAUAGCAUUGGAGAAGGGCAUCCUUUUCCAAUUAAAGUCACAACGGUGAAAGAUGAGCAUGCGUCCCAUUAGCUAGUUGGUAAGGUAACGGCUUACCAAGGCUACGAUGGGUAGGGGUCCUGAGAGGGAGAUCCCCCACACUGGUACUGAGACACGGACCAGACUCCUACGGGAGGCAGCAGUGAGGAAUAUUGGUCAAUGGGCGCAAGCCUGAACCAGCCAUGCCGCGUGCAGGAUGACGGUCCUAUGGAUUGUAAACUGCUUUUGUACGGGAAGAAACACUGAUUCGUGAAUCAGCUUGACGGUACCGUAAGAAUAAGGAUCGGCUAACUCCGUGCCAGCCGCCGCCGUAA
rnacentral:rRNA from 1 species